rnacentral:rRNA from 1 species
UACGUAGGGGGCGAGCGUUGUCCGGAAUUAUUGGGCGUAAAGGGCGUGUAGGCGGUCAUUUAAGUCAGGUGUGAAAAGACAGGGCUCAACUCUGUACAUGCACUUGAAACUAGAUGGCUUGAGGGCAGGAGAGGAGAGUGGAAUUCCCGGUGUAGCGGUGAUAUGCGUAGAUAUCGGGAGGAACACCAGUGGCGAAGGCGGCUCUCUGGACUGUACCUGACGCUGAGGCGCGAAAGCUAGGGGAGCAAACAGGAUUAGAUACC